rnacentral:rRNA from 1 species
CACGUAGGGCGCAAGCGUUGUCCGGAAUUAUUGGGCGUAAAGAGCUCGUAGGCGGACUGUCACGUCUGCUGUGAAAAGCUAGGGCUUAACCCUGGCCUUGCAGUGGAUACGGGCAGACUAGAGGUAGGUAGGGGAGAAUGGAAUUCCCGGUGUAGCGGUGAAAUGCGCAGAUAUCUUGAGGAACACCGGUGGCGAAGGCGGCUCUCUGGGCCUUACCUGACGCUGAGGAGCGAAAGCGUGGGUAGCGAACAAGG